AGACAAUAUACGAGAUGAGACUGCCCAGAUCGGCGGCUGUCACCGCCCGCGGCCAUCAGAGGUCGUUGCCGGGUUCAAUCGGCUCGGCGGGCCGGUCUAGCUGCCAGGAGCCGACUGCCGCCGGCGCCGACCCGUCCGUCACCCGGCAAGGAAGCUCAUCAAUCGGACCCGGCCCGUGGCAUACCAAACGCCCCCCCCCCCCCAUCCGUCCCCGCUGCGUGGCGCCGACUUUCCCUGAAAAACACUUUUGCUUAUUGUAUGUUUUUAUUUGUAGAUGUUGCAAUACAAUCCAAAGAGCGACUCGA
rnacentral:lncRNA from 1 species